rnacentral:rRNA from 1 species
UUGGAGGGCAAGUCUGGUGCCAGCAGCCGCGGUAAUUCCAGCUCCAAUAGCGUAUAUUAAAGUUGUUGCAGUUAAAAAGCUCGUAGUUGAAUUUCGGGAUCAAUAUUUCGGUCAUGCCGUUGGUAUGCACUGUUAUCAUUGAUUUCUCACCUUCUAAGGAACCGUAAUGCCAUUAAUUUGGUGUUACGGGGAAUCAGGACUGUUACCUUGAAAAAAUUAGAGUGUUUAAAGCAGGCUCACGCUUGAAUACAUUAGCAUGGAAUAAUGAGAUAGGACAUCCGAUUCUAUUUCGUUGGUUUCUAGGAUCGAUGUAAUGAUUAAUAGGGAUAGUUGGGGGCAUUAGUAUUCAAUUGUCAGAGGUGAAAUUCUUGGAUUUAUUGAAGACUAACUACUGCGAAAGCAUUUGCCAAGGAUGUUUUCAUUAAUCAAGAACGAAAGUUAGGGGAUCGAAGACGAUCAGAUACUGUCGUAGUCUUAACCAUAAACUAUGCCGACUAGGGAUCGGAUGAUGUUAAUUUUUUAAUGACUCAUUCGGCGCCUUACGGGAAAC